CCUACGGGAGGCAGCAGUGAGGAAUAUUGGUCAAUGGGCGCGAGCCUGAACCAGCCAAGUAGCGUGAAGGAUGACUGCCCUACGGGUUGUAAACUUCUUUUAUAAAGGAAUAAAGUGCGGCACGUGUGCCUUUUUGUAUGUACUUUAUGAAUAAGGAUCGGCUAACUCCGUGCCAGCAGCCGCGGUAAUACGGGGGAUCCGAGCGUUAUCCGGAUUUAUUGGGGUGAAAGGGAGCGUAGAUGGGUUUUUAAGUCCGGUGUGAAAGUUUGCGGCUCAACCGUAAAAUUGCAAUUGAUACUGGCAGCCUUGAGUACAGUUGAGGUAGGCGGAAUUCGUGGUGUAGCGGUGAAAUGCUUAGAUAUCACGAAGAACUCCGAUUGCGAAGGCAGCUUACUAAACUGCCACUGACAUUGAUGCUCGAAAGUGUGGGUAUCAAACAGGAUUAGAUACCCGGGUAGUC
rnacentral:rRNA from 1 species